rnacentral:rRNA from 1 species
UACGAAGGGUGCAAGCGUUACUCGGAAUUACUGGGCGUAAAGCGUGCGUAGGUGGUGAGUUAAGUCUGUCGUGAAAGCCCCCGGCUCAACUGGGGAGGGUCAUUCGAUACUGAUCGACUCGAAGGCAGGAGAGGGAAGCGGAAUUCCCGGUGUAGUGGUGAAAUGCGUAGAUAUCGGGAGGAACACCAGUGGCGAAGGCGGCUUCCUGGCCUGUUCUUGACGCUGAGGCGCGAAAGCUAGGGGAGCAAACGGG